CCCUUAGAUGUUCUGGGCUGCACGCGCGCUACACUGACAUGUCCAGCGAGCUCCCAACCUGCUCGGCAAAGAAUGGGUACCCUUUUUAACGCAUGUCGUGAUGGGGAUAGAUUAUUGCAAUUGUUGAUCUUGAACGAGGAAUUCCUAGUAAGUGCAAGUCAUUAGCUUGUGCUGAAUACGUCCCUGCCCUUUGUACACACCGCCCGUCGCUCCUACCGAUUGAACGGUUUAGUGAGGGCCUCGGAUUGGUCUCGGCCCGCUCUUUACCGGGCGGCGCCGUUGGUCGAGAAGACGCUCGAACUUGAUCGUUUAGAGGAAGUAAAAGUCGUAACA
rnacentral:rRNA from 1 species